UACGGGGGGGGGCAAGCGUUGUUCGGAAUUACUGGGCGUAAAGGGUGCGUAGGCGGCGCGGUAAGUCGGGUGUGAAAUCUUGGAGCUUAACUCCGAAACUGCAUUCGAUACUGCCGUGCUUGAGGACUGGAGAGGAGACUGGAAUUUACGGUGUAGCGGUGAAAUGCGUAGAUAUCGUAAGGAAGACCAGUGGCGAAGGCGGGGUCUCUGGACAGUUCCUGACGCUGAGGCGCGAAAGCUAGGGGAGCGAACGGG
rnacentral:rRNA from 1 species